rnacentral:rRNA from 1 species
GAUGAACGCUGGCGGCGUGCUUAACACAUGCAAGUCGAACGAUGAAGCUCAGCUUGCUGGGUGGAUUAGUGGCGAACGGGUGAGUAACACGUGAGUAACCUGCCCUUAACUCUGGGAUAAGCCUGGGAAACUAGGUCUAAUACCGGAUAGGAGCGCCUACCGCAUGGUGGGUGUUGGAAAGAUUUAUCGGUUUUGGAUGGACUCGCGGCCUAUCAGCUUGUUGGUGAGGUAAUGGCUCACCAAGGCGACGACGGGUAGCCGGCCUGAGAGGGUGACCGGCCACACUGGGACUGAGACACGGCCCAGACUCCUACGGGAGGCAGCAGUGGGGAAUAUUGCACAAUGGGCGAAAGCCUGAUGCAGCGACGCCGCGUGAGGGAUGACGGCCUUCGGGUUGUAAACCUCUUUCAGUAGGGAAGAAGCGAAAGUGACGGGACCUGCAGAAGAAGCACCGGCUAACUACGU